CUACGUCUGGUUUUCAAAAUAAGGUGGUAACAAAGGGAACUGUACAUACGAAAUACAUAUAUAGAAAGAAGAUUGAUUGGAUUGUAUUCACCAGAAGUAUAAAACAUUACAUUAUAAAUU